GGUUCUAUAGUGUAGUGGCUAGCACAUGGGAUUCUGAAGUUUCAGAGCAUUCCCAUAACCCCGGUUCGAUCCCGGGUAGGACCU